rnacentral:rRNA from 1 species
ACUGACAGCCAUGGUUACCGCGGCUGCUGGCACGGAGUUAGCCGGUGCUUCUUCUGCGAGUAACGUCACAGAUGUAAGGUAUUAACUUACACCCUUUCCUCCUCGCUGAAAGUGCUUUACAACCCGAAGGCCUUCUUCACACACGCGGCAUGGCUGCAUCAGGGUUUCCCCCAUUGUGCAAUAUUCCCCACUGCUGCCUCCCGUAGGAGUCUGGGCCGUGUCUCAGUCCCAGUGUGGCUGAUCAUCCUCUCAGACCAGCUAGGGAUCGUCGCCUAGGUGAGCCUUUACCUCACCUACUAGCUAAUCCCACCUGGGCUUAUCCAUCAGCGCAAGGCCCGAAGGUCCCCUGCUUUCCCCCGUAGGGCGUAUGCGGUAUUAGCAGUCGUUUCCAACUGUUAUCCCCCACAAAUGGGCAAAUUCCCAGGCAUUACUCACCCGUCCGCCGCUCGUCAUCUUCAAAAGCAAGCUUUUGAAAUGUUACCGCUCG